GAUGACGUUUGGGAAGGCCCUGUACAAAAAGCAGCUUCCGCGUGACGUAGUUGAACAGUCAGCAUUCUUUCUUCGCUGUAGCUACCACCGUCUGAACCGUCGUGUUGCAACAUUGCCGAACCUUUUAGGUUAAUACACGAUUUUUCUAAUCUCAAUUUUCUAUUCUGUCUUUAUUUUUCUUCUCUUGGAGGACAAGACAAAAAUCACACUGACGUUCCUUUUGUGAAGGUCGCUCUUUCCUUCCCACUCCCGGAACAUUAUUCUUUUCAGAUAUACUUUGUCAAGCCGCCAAAGUGGAGAGUGUCGUUGCACAAGGGGGUCCUUCUCGUUUCAGUGUAGGGGGAGGAGGUGGGGGUGCACCUCAGCACUAUCCCAAGACUGUCGGCAACAGCGAGUUCCUGGGGAAAACCCCAGGUUCUAGCGUUCAGAGAUGGGUACCUUCUCGAAGCACUAGACGAGAUGCCAGCUCCUCC